rnacentral:rRNA from 1 species
UACGAAGGGGGCUAGCGUUGCUCGGAAUUACUGGGCGUAAAGCGUGCGCAGGCGGUUUCGCAAGUCAAAUGUGAAAUCCCCGGGCUUAACCUGGGAACUGCAUUUGAAACUACGAGGCUAGAGUGUGUCAGAGGGGGGUAGAAUUCCACGUGUAGCAGUGAAAUGCGUAGAGAUGUGGAGGAAUACCGAUGGCGAAGGCAGCCCCCUGGGAUAACACUGACGCUCAUGCACGAAAGCGUGGGGAGCAAACAGG